rnacentral:rRNA from 1 species
AGCGGAGGAAAAGAAACCAACAGGGAUUGCCUCAGUAACGGCGAGUGAAGCGGCAAAAGCUCAAAUUUGAAAUCUAGCACUUUCAGUGUUCGAGUUGUAAUUUGAAGAAGGUAACUUUGGUUUUGGCUCUUGUCUAUGUUCCUUGGAACAGGACGUCACAGAGGGUGAGAAUCCCGUGCGAUGAGAUGCCCAAUUCCAUGUAAAGUGCUUUCGAAGAGUCGAGUUGUUUGGGAAUGCAGCUCUAAGUGGGUGGUAAAUUCCAUCUAAAGCUAAAUAUUGGCGAGAGACCGAUAGCGAACAAGUACAGUGAUGGAAAGAUGAAAAGAACUUUGAAAAGAGAGUGAAAAAGUACGUGAAAUUGUUGAAAGGGAAGGGCUUGAGAUCAGACUUGGUAUUUUGCGUUCCCUUCCUUUUUGGUUGGGUUCCUCGCAGUUUACUGGGCCAGCAUCGGUUUGGAUGGUAGGAUAAUGACAUUGGAAUGUAGCUUUACUUCGGUGAAGUGUUAUAGACUUUGUUGAUACUGCCUAUCUAGACCGAGGACUGCGUCUUUGACUAGGAUGCUGGCGUAAUGAUCUUAAGCCGCCCGUCUUGAAACACGGACCAAA